UAGAAAUAAAUUGAGGCUUGCACCCUGAAACGAUAAAUUCCACAAUCGUGCUAUUGAUGCGCCCCAUUCGAAUAUAUAGAUUCAAAGACCUUAACCUGCUGUGCAGUCUAGAAUCAAUGGUUCGGGAGUUGUCGGCUCCAUCUCACAAAGGCUAUACUUCACAGGAUCAUCGGCUUAUGAUCUGUUGAAGUAAAUUUCAAACCGUAAACUCGAUAAAUAUGUGCACUUCAAUCAAAUUUGUUUAAAAAAAUUGAGUGAAUAUAUUUAGUAGGUAAUAUGAUACCUGUCAAAGAUUUUAUAUAUAGUUUUAGAAUGUUGUAUCUGACGGAACUCCUCUACAGGUUAGGCAUAUUCUAACCUAAUUGGCGUUUUAGUACCGUACCAGCACAAAAAGGAGUUUUAACUAUCAGGAACCAGUUAUUAAAGAAAAAUGGACCGCCUUUUAACGAUAUGUAUGUGCAUUAUUUACUAUUUAAUUUUGAUAUUUAGGAAGUGCAAAUGGCAUAUGUGCGCGUUAAAGAAAAAACUCUCAAUCGAAAUUAAUAAGGAAGGGAAACAAAAUAUCACAUACACCUGCCUGCAUUUACUUUUACCCAAUGUUUCAGUACUUCCGCGCUAGCCACCGCGUACUAUCAAGACCUGAUUGCAAUCACUGCUGCUGUUGCCACUAUUGAUGAUAUUGCUGCUGCAAGCUCGUUUCGUAUUUACUGCUGUUGAAAUCUCGCUGAAGACUCUAGACGUUAAGGAAGCCAAUAACUCAGCCUGAUGUCGGUGAAAUUGGGGCGCCCUUUUUGUUACGCUGAACUGCUUCUAUCCUCCUUUAUUUUGCCGUUUUUUGUAUACUCUUUAUUCGUGGUAUUUUCUUUGAAUAUUAUCUUACAUUCUUUUCUAGGCGCGAACUUAAAAUAUGGUUUAUGUUUUUUUAUUUAAGUGAAAAUAUUUGCGUUUAACUAAAUAACCACACUUCUUCCUUACUUCUGUUCUUCGUUCUUCAACUUUCGUUCACGGCGUUUAUGCAUUCCAUUACCAUUCGUUGUUGUGUUGUUGAGAAAAUUGUUUUGUAUACAUUGGUGAAAACCGUCGUUGAAAACUGGUAACAGUGAUGCCAUCUCAAAUGAAAUAAUAUUGUUAUGAAAAUCAAGAAAAAUUGUUAAUGUCUACAAUCAAUUUAAAAUGUUUACGCAUUAUUAUGAUUGGUUUUAAUUAAUUGGAGAAAUUAUGUAUAAUAAGCCGCGAUAGUUGUUUGUAAUAUUUUAUAUUUUGGCACAAUUUUUGAAAAGUCUUAAAAAAUA